GGAUGUGAGGCCGAUCUGGCUGCGACAUCUGUCACCCCAUUGAUUGCCAGGGUUGAUUUGGCUGAUCUGGCUGGCUAGCAGCUUCGGUUGAAGAGGACGACCUUCCCCUCUCCCCUACACUCCCUCCCCCGCCCCAGGAGAAGACCGGUCUUCAGUCAAGGGUAUAGGAGUAGCUGCGCUCCCCUACUAGAACCUCCAAACAAGUUCUCAAGAAUGCUGAGACAAUGAGGCGGCUCCACUAAUGAUCACUAACAG
rnacentral:snRNA from 1 species